rnacentral:rRNA from 1 species
CCUACGUGUGGCAGCAGUGGGGAAUAUUGCGCAAUGGGCGAAAGCCUGACGCAGCGACGCCGCGUGAGGGAUGAAGGUCUUCGGAUCGUAAACCUCUGUCAGCAGGGAAGAACGGUCACUGUGCUAAUCAGCAGUGAAUUGACGGUACCUGCAAAGGAAGCACCGGCUAACUCCGUGCCAGCAGCCGCGGUAAUACGGAGGGUGCAAGCGUUAAUCGGAAUUACUGGGCGUAAAGCGCGCGUAGGCGGUAUGACAAGUCAAGGGUGAAAUCCCCGCGCUCAACGGGGGAACUGCCUUUGAAACUGGCAAACUGGAGUGUGGGAGAGGAUUGUGGAAUUCCAGGUGUAGGAGUGAAAUCCGUAGAUAUCUGGAGGAACAUCAGUGGCGAAGGCGACUAUCUGGCACAUAACUGACGCUGAGGAGCGAAAGCGUGGGUAGCAAACAGGAUUAGAUACCCUUGUAGUC